rnacentral:tRNA from 1 species
ACUUGAAUAGCUUAUGUUAAGAGCGCGACACUGAAGAUGUCGAUGAGGUAUUUAUACCUUUGAGUA